rnacentral:lncRNA from 1 species
GCAGAACAGAAGCAGAAAGUGGGACAUGAAAUUAGAUGAAUUGCCAAGCAAAUGGUUACUUGUGAAUUCAAAAUGAACAUAGAUUGAUGUUAUUACAUGUACAUCAUCAUCCACUGAGGUGGUAGGGUCUUCCUUUGAGUCUGGUUCCGCAACAUCAUCAACAUCAUCAGCUUCAGCAUCAUCGGCAUCAUCAUCUCCAUCCUCGGCCUAUGAAAAGAAAGGGCCCCAUAAUCAGUAUAUAAAUAAAGAUAGGUGUAGACUAUACUAUUUGAAGAGAGGAUGUCAGGCUUACAUCAGAAUCAACUGGAUCAUCCUUUGUUUCCUAUAUAGAAAACAAAACAGUGUUCACUAAAAGAAAGAUUAAAGAAUCCACUCAAUGACUUAGAUGAAUUGCCAAGCAAAUGGUUACUUGUGAAUUCAAAAUGAACAUAGAUUGAUGUUAUUACAUGUACAUCAUCAUCCACUGAGGUGGUAGGGUCUUCCUUUGAGUCUGGUUCCGCAACAUCAUCAACAUCAUCAGCUUCAGCAUCAUCGGCAUCAUCAUCUCCAUCCUCGGCCUAUGAAAAGAAAGGGCCCCAUAAUCAGUAUAUAAAUAAAGAUAGGUGUAGACUAUACUAUUUGAAGAGAGGAUGUCAGGCUUACAUCAGAAUCAACUGGAUCAUCCUUUGUUUCCUAUAUAGAAAACAAAACAGUGUUCACUAAAAGAAAGAUUAAAGAAUCCACUCAAUGACUGCUAUCCAGUGAGAUUA